UACGAAGGGGGCUAGCGUUGCUCGGAAUCACUGGGCGUAAAGGGUGCGUAGGCGGGGCUUUAAGUCAGGGGUGAAAUCCUGGAGCUCAACUCCAGAACUGCCUUUGAUACUGAGGAUCUUGAGUUCGGGAGAGGUGAGUGGAACUGCGAGUGUAGAGGUGAAAUUCGUAGAUAUUCGCAAGAACACCAGUGGCGAAGGCGGCUCACUGGACCACUUCUGACGCUGAGACACGAAAGCGUGGGUAGCAAACAGG
rnacentral:rRNA from 1 species